UACGUAGGGUGCGAGCGUUAAUCGGAAUUACUGGGCGUAAAGCGUGCGCAGGCGGUCUUGCAAGACAGGUGUGAAAUCCCCGGGCUUAACCUGGGAACUGCACUUGUGACUGCAAGGCUGGAGUGCGGCAGAGGGGGAUGGAAUUCCGCGUGUAGCAGUGAAAUGCGUAGAGAUGUGGAGGAACACCGAUGGCGAAGGCAGCCCCCUGGGCUGAGAUUGACGCUCAGGCACGAAAGCGUGGGGAGCAAACAGG
rnacentral:rRNA from 1 species